rnacentral:rRNA from 1 species
AUUGAACGCUGGCGGCAGGCCUAACACAUGCAAGUCGAGCGAGCGGCGGACGGGUGAGUAAUGUAUGGGGACUGCCCGCUAGAGGGGGAUAACUACUGGAAACGGGGGCGAAUACAGCAUAUUGUCGGAUAACCCAUAUGGGAUUAGCUAGGAGGUGAGGUAAUGGCUUACAUAGGCGACGAUCCCUAGCUGGUCUGAGAGGAUGAUCAGCCACACUGGGACUGAGCCACGGCCCGGACGCCUACGGAGGCAGCAGUGGGGAAUAUUGCACAAGGGGCGCAAGCCUGAUGCAGCCAUGCCGCGUGUAUGAAGAAGGCCCUAGGGUUGUAAAGGACUUUCAGUCGGGAGGCGUUACCGGCAGAAGAAGCACCGGCUAACUCCGUGCCAGCAGCCGCGGUAAUAC